rnacentral:tRNA from 1 species
GACCCCAUUGUGUAGUGGUUAGCACCCCACCCUUUCAAGGUGGUAGCACGGGUUCGAAUCCCGUUGGGGUCGCCA